rfam:Salmo salar isolate Sally breed double haploid chromosome ssa05, whole genome shotgun sequence.
UGUAUUCACUACUGUAAGUCACUCUGGAUAAGAGUGUCUGCUAAAUGACUAAAA